UUUAAGCACAUUAUCGAUUGUGUGCAGC
rnacentral:sRNA from 1 species